rnacentral:rRNA from 1 species
CAGUCGCCGCGGUAAUACGAAGGGGGCUAGCGUUGUUCGGAAUUACUGGGCGUAAAGCGCACGUAGGCGGAUAUUUAAGUCAGGGGUGAAAUCCCAGAGCUCAACUCUGGAACUGCCUUUGAUACUGGGUAUCUUGAGUAUGGAAGAGGUGAGUGGAAUUCCGAGUGUAGAGGUGAAAUUCGUAGAUAUUCGGAGGAACACCAGUGGCGAAGGCGGCUCACUGGUCCAUUACUGACGCUGAGGUGCGAAAGCGUGGGGAGCAAAUAGGAUUAGAUACCCGCGUAGUCCCUGUCUCUUAUAC